UACGGAGGGGGCUAGCGUUGUUCGGAAUUACUGGGCGUAAAGCGCACGUAGGCGGCUUUGUAAGUUAGAGGUGAAAGCCCGGAGCUCAACUCCGGAAUUGCCUUUAAGACUGCAUCGCUCGAAUCCAGGAGAGGUGAGUGGAAUUCCGAGUGUAGAGGUGAAAUUCGUAGAUAUUCGGAAGAACACCAGUGGCGAAGGCGGCUCACUGGACUGGUAUUGACGCUGAGGUGCGAAAGCGUGGGGAGCAAGCAGG
rnacentral:rRNA from 1 species